UACGGAGGAUGCAAGCGUUAUCCGGAAUGAUUGGGCGUAAAGGGUCCGCAGGUGGCAGUGUAAGUCUGCUGUCAAAGAAUGAGGCUUAACCUCAUCAAGGCAGUGGAAACUACACAGCUAGAGUACGGUCGGGGUAGAAGGAAUUCCUGGUGUAGCGGUGAAAUGCGUAGAGAUCGGGAAGAACAUCGGUGGCGAAAGCGCUCUGCUGGACUGCAACUGACACUCAGGGACGAAAGCUAGGGGAGCGAAUGGG
rnacentral:rRNA from 1 species